rnacentral:rRNA from 1 species
CCUACGGGUGGCAGCAGUGGGGAAUAUUGGACAAUGGGGGGAACCCUGAUCCAGCCAUGCCGCGUGUGUGAAGAAGGCCCUCGGGUUGUAAAGCACUUUCAGUGAGGAAGAACGCCUGGUGGUUAAUACCCAUCAGGAAAGACAUCACUCACAGAAGAAGCACCGGCUAACUCCGUGCCAGCAGCCGCGGUAAUACGGAGGGUGCGAGCGUUAAUCGGAAUUACUGAGCGUAAAGCGCGCGUAGGUGGCUUGAUAAGCCGGUUGUGAAAGCCCCGGGCUCAACCUGGGAACGGCAUCCGGAACUGUCAAGCUAGAGUGCAGGAGAGGAAGGUAGAAUUCCCGGUGUAGCGGUGAAAUGCGUAGAGAUCGGGAGGAAUACCAGUGGCGAAGGCGGCCUUCUGGACUGACACUGACACUGAGGUGCGAAAGCGUGGGUAGCAAACAGGAUUAGAUAUCCGAGUAGUC